CCUACGGGUGGCAGCAGUAGGGAAUAUUGCUCAAUGGGGGAAACCCUGAAGCAGCAACGCCGCGUGGAGGAUGAAGGUUUUCGGAUUGGAAACUCCGUUUGAUAGAGAAGAGAAUGACGGUAAGUAAGGAAUAAGGAACGGCUAACUCCGUGCCAGCAUCCGCGGUAAUACGGAGGGUGCAAGCGUUACUCGGAAUGACUGGGCGUCAAGAGCGCGUAGGGGGGUUAGCAAGUCAGAUGUGAAUUCCUAUGGCUUAACCAUAGAACUGCAUUUGAAACGGUUAUUCUAGAGUAUGGGAGAGGUAGGUGGAAUUCUUGGUGUAGUGGUCAAAUCCGUA
rnacentral:rRNA from 1 species